UACGGGGGGAGCAAGCGUUGUUCGGAUUUACUGGGCGUAAAGGGCGCGUAGGCGGUCACGACAAGUCAGUUGUGAAAUCUCCGGGCUUAACUCGGAAAGGUCAACUGAUACUGCGGGGCUAGAGUGCGGAAGGGGCAACUGGAAUUCUCGGUGUAGCGGUGAAAUGCGUAGAUAUCGAGAGGAACACCUGCGGCGAAGGCGGGUUGCUGGGCCGACACUGACGCUGAUGCGCGAAAGCCAGGGGAGCGAACGGG
rnacentral:rRNA from 1 species